UUUUAUUUUACUUAGAGCGCUUUAGUGAAGUGGGCCCCAUUUCUCUUGUCCUUUCGUACUGGGAGGAAUUGCGUAAUAG